rnacentral:rRNA from 1 species
GACGAACGCUGGCGGCGUGCUUAACACAUGCAAGUCGAACGGAAAGGCCCUGCUUUUGUGGGGUGCUCGAGUGGCGAACGGGUGAGUAACACGUGAGUAACCUGCCCUUGACUUUGGGAUAACUUCAGGCAACUGGGGCUAAUACCGGAUAGGAGCUCCUGCUGCAUGGUGGGGGUUGGAAAGUUUCGGCGGUGGGGGAUGGACUCGCGGCUUAUCAGCUUGUUGGUGGGGUAGUGGCUUACCAAGGCUUUGACGGGUAGCCGGCCUGAGAGGGUGACCGGCCACAUUGGGACUGCGAGACGGCCCAGACUCCUACGGUAGGCAGCAGUGGGGAAUAUUGCACAAUGGGCGGAAGCCUGAUGCAGCAACGCCGCGUGCGGGAUGCCGGCCUUCGGGUUGUAAACCGCUUUCGCCUGUGACGAAGCGUGAGUGACGGUAAUGGGUAAAGAAGCACCGGCUAACUACGUG